rnacentral:rRNA from 1 species
GACGAACGCUGGCGGCGUGCUUAACACAUGCAAGUCGAGCGGUAAGGCCCUUUCGGGGGUACACGAGCGGCGAACGGGUGAGUAACACGUGGGUGACCUGCCCUCAGCUCUGGGAUAAGCCUGGGAAACCGGGUCUAAUACUGGAUAUGGCUCCAUGACGCAUGUUGUGGGGUGGAAAGCCUUGUGCGGCUGAGGAUGGGCCCGCGGCCUAUCAGCUUGUUGGUGGGGUGANGGCCUACCAAGGCGACGACGGGUAGCCGGCCUGAGAGGGCGACCGGCCACACUGGGACUGAGACACGGCCCAGACUCCUACGGGAGGCAGCAGUGGGGAAUCUUGCGCAAUGGGCGAAAGCCUGACGCAGCGACGCCGCGUGAGGGAUGACGGCCUGG